rnacentral:rRNA from 1 species
CGCGUGGGAAUAUACCCAAAGGUAAGGAAUAGCCUCUGGAAACGGAGAGUAAUACCUUAUGUGCCCUACGGGGGAAAGAUUUAUCGCCUUUGGAUUAGCCCGCGUUGGAUUAGGUAGUUGGUGGGGUAAUGGCCUACCAAGCCUACGAUCCAUAGCUGGUUUGAGAGGAUGAUCAGCAACACUGGGACUGAGACACGGCCCAGACUCCUACGGGAGGCAGCAGUGGGGAAUCUUAGACAAUGGGCGCAAGCCUGAUCUAGCCAUGCCGCGUGAGUGACGAAGGCCCUAGGGUCGUAAAGC